rnacentral:rRNA from 1 species
UACGUAGGUGGCAAGCGUUGUCCGGAUUUACUGGGCGUAAAGAGCGCGCAGGCGGUCGUUCAAGUCGCGUGUGAAAGCCCCCGGCUCAACUGGGGAGGGUCACGCGAUACUGAUCGACUCGAAGGCAGGAGAGGGUAGUGGAAUUCCCGGUGUAGUGGUGAAAUGCGUUGAUAUCCGAAGGAACGCCGGUGGCGAAAGCGACGGGCUGGAUCUCUUCUGACGCUGAGGCGCGAAAGCCAGGGGAGCAAACGGG